AACGAACGCUGGCGGCAUGCCUAACACAUGCAAGUCGAACGGGAUCUUCGGGUCUAGUGGCGCACGGGUGCGUAACGCGUGGGAAUCUGCCCUUUGGUUCGGAAUACCAGUUGGAAACGACUGCUAAUACCGGAUGAUGACGAAGGUCCAAAGAUUUAUCGCCAGAGGAUGAGCCCGCGUAGGAUUAGCUAGUUGGUGUGGUAAAGGCGCACCAAGGCGACGAUCCUUAGCUGGUCUGAGAUGAUGAUCAGCCACACUGGGACUGAGACACGGCCCAGACUCCUACGGGAGGCAGCAGUGGGGAAUAUUGGACAAUGGGCGAAAGCCUGAUCCAGCAAUGCCGCGUGAGUGAUGAAGGCCUUAGGGUUGUAAAGCUCUUUUACCCGGGAUGAUAAUGACAGUACCGGGAGAAUAAGCUCCGGCUAACUCCGUGCCAGCAGCCGCGGUAA
rnacentral:rRNA from 1 species